CCUGGCUCGGGCCUGUCCGUCCUCACUCCCAGGUGUGCCAAGACCGGUGUGCACCUGGCUCAGGCCUAUCUGUUCUCACUCCCAGGUGUGCCAAGACCGGUAUGCACCUGGCUCAGGCCUGUCUGUCCUCACUCCCAGGUGUACCAGGACCAGCAUGCACCUGACUCUGGCCUGUCCCUUCUCAGAGCUCAGUGACCUGCUUCCUCAGCAGCCACGGGCACAGCGGAGCCCUCCUCCUCCCACUAGCACCUCUUCUCAGAGGUCCGGAGGGAGCGGCGACUCCGUCAAGACGGACGCCCCGCCGCUGCCCCAGUGCGAGCUCCCGACCGUCCCCCCUGCCCCACCGCCUCGGCCGAGCGUAGGGACGGGAGAGAAGCUACCGUCAGAGGGGCCGGCAGUUAACAGCCAGAGCGUGAAGCACGUGCCGAGGUCCAUGGGAACAGCGUCACCCUCGAAACAACCUUCUAAUGUAGCCGCUACUGUUCCUGUGCCCACUUUACAGAUGCAGAACUGAGAAUCAGAGUGGUUCAGAAGCUCGCCCGAGGCCACACAGCCAUUGGCAGGUUCAAGACCACGAUGCCAGCCGGUCCUUCAUCCCUCGGAGCACCUACUGCGUACCCGUCCUGCCCAGGGAAUGGCGAUGCCCUCCAGGAUGGGCCUGCCCAGAGCAGAGGGAUUUUGUUGUCACGGCUGUAUCCUCGUGGCCACGGCAGCCUCCAGCAAACAGUGGGUGCUCAAUAAAUAUUUGUCAAGUGCGCGAUCGAUGAACAAAUUAAAUCAACAGUGACAACCCAGGGGGCCAAGGCAGUGGAGACUCCUAGGAUGUCAGGCUGGGCUUGUCCCAGUGUCUCCAGCCUGGAGAACAGCAUCUGGCAUGGGCAGAACCACAGCAAGGAUGGGUCCUGUGAGCGGAUCAAAGAGUGCAGGCCCGAGCAUCGGGGUGUCCCUGUGCAAAAAAGCUUUGCAGAAAGUAAACGCCUGACACAUUCAACAGAAUUAAAAGCAAGAACUUGUGGGGCCGCUGGGUGGCUCAGGCUCGGGGCAUGAUCCCGGAGU